UGCAGUCGUACGAGAACGGUUCCUUCGGGGGCCUAGUAAAGUGGCGAACGGGUGAGUAACGCGUGGGUAACCUGCCCUUGAGUGGGGAAUAACUUGGCGAAAGCCGGGCUAAUGCCGCAUAACAUCAAUCCUGCCAUGGUAGGGUUGAUCAAAGGUGGCGCGGUUCGACCGCUAUCGCUUGAGGAGGGGCCCGCGUCCCAUUAGCUUGUUGGUGGGGUAAUGGCCUACCAAGGCUACGAUGGGUAGCCGGCCUGAGAGGGUGUCCGGCCACACUGGAACUGAGACACGGUCCAGACUCCUACGGGAGGCAGCAGUGGGGAAUAUUGGGCAAUGGGCGCAAGCCUGACCCAGCGACGCCGCGUGGGUGAUGAAGGCCUUCGGGUCGUAAAACCCUGUCAUGUGGGACGAAAGACCCGGGCUCUAACAUAGCUCGGGUUUGACGGUACCGCAGGAGGAAGCCCCGGCUAACUCCGUGCCAGCAGCCGCGGUAAUACGGAGGGGGCUAGCGUUAUUCGGAAUUAUUGGGCGUAAAGGGCAGGUAGGCUGUUUCGUGUGUCCUCUGUGAAAGCCCUCGGCUCAACCGGGGAAUUGCAGGGGAAACUGCGGGACUUGAGUCCGGGAGAGGGCAGUGGAAUUCCCAGUGUAGCGGUGAAAUGCGUAGAUAUUGGGAGGAACACCAGUGGCGAAGGCGGCUGCCUGGACCGGUACUGACGCUGAUCUGCGAAAGCUAGGGGAGCGAACGGGAUUAGAUACCCCGGUAUUCCUAGCUGUAAACGAUGAGCACUUGGUGUGGCGGGUAUCGACCCCUGCUGUGCCGGAGCUAACGCAUU
rnacentral:rRNA from 1 species